CUUAGACAACAUAUUAGGAGUUAUCAUGAUACUAUUAAAUGAUGUUCUAUUAAUUUCGUUUAUUAUAAGAUGUAUGUAUUAACCUUACUUAUCAAUAGUAGAUAGUAUUGUGUGAAUGAGUAGGCGUAGGCCAUUGGUAUCUAGGCAUGCGCACUAACGGUGUGUCUAUUGGUCAGGAGGUCAUGACACCGGGGGUAGGUGUGCCGGGUAUAGUCUACUGAUGAUCUCCUAUCGGGGAUAUAUAUCGACCCCCAGUGCAGAAUGAUCAUAGUCCCUGAUCCUCCAAACGUCUGAAGCGCUAGGCUAAGCUAGUAGACUCGUCAUAGCGGCUGCAGAAAAAAAAAAAAACAGCUACCCCAACCUGCGCAACUAUGCCUACUGACUUUUUUCCGCAGUGAUUUCUGACGUCGGCAAUGAGAGCGUGAAAAAGCAUCAGGGUCCACGUGCACCAGGUGCAUAUGAUAUUCGGUUGAAUAAUCAAAGAACGAUACUCGGCGAUCGGACCAAUGUGGGGGCCAGCGGUAGUUAUGUGCCUAUCGUGAAUAGUGUGAAACAGUGGACCCCUGGAUCAAAC
ensembl:lncRNA